AGCUGGUCCGAGUACAGACGUAUUUGCAACUGAUUGAUUACAACUAGUUAUAGAUUUGUUUGUUCCUUCUCCACUCCCACUGCUUCACUUGACCUAGCCUAAA
rfam:Pongo abelii chromosome 10.